rnacentral:rRNA from 1 species
GUCCAGACUCCUACGGGAGGCAGCAGUGGGGAAUAUUGCACAAUGGGGGGAACCCUGAUGCAGCGACGCCGCGUGGGUGAAGGAGCACCUCGGUGCGUAAAGCCCUAUCGGCAGGGAAGAAACAGACGGUACCUGACUAAGAAGCCCCGGCUAAAUACGUGCCAGCAGCCGCGGGAAUACGUAUGGUGCGAGCGUUGUCCGGAUUUACUGGGCGUGAAGGGGGCGCAGGCGGCGCGCCAAGCCCGAUGUGAAAGCCCGGGGCUCAACCCCGGGACUGCAUUGGGAACUGGCGUGCUGGAGUGCCGGAGGGGCAGGCGGAAUUCCUGGUGUAGCGGUGAAAUGCGUAGAUAUCAGGAGGAACACCGGUGGCGAAGGCGGCCUGCUGGACGGAUACUGACGCUGAGGCCCGAAAGCGUGGGGAGCGAACAGGAUUAGAUACCCGUGUAAG